rnacentral:lncRNA from 1 species
AUACAAGUUUCCUUUUGUUCAUUUCCUUCUUCCUAUUAGUGUUGUCCUCCUUAAAAGCCUUAGUCAAUCCAAGUUAGUAAACUCAUCUUUCCUCCAACGGUAACUACAGCAGAUUUUCGUUGACAAAAUUACUAUGUCACUAGUAGUUUGGAGGCCACAAAACAUCCUUUUUAAAGGAUUGACAUACAAGACCCUAUAAUGUCAAGUUUUGUAGAACAUCAAUGAAGAGGAUGACGGUUUAGUUUGGAGAGUUUUGGUUACUGCGUUGAGGAGAUUGGCUAUUUCGAUGCAGACGGAUUUGAAAUCUUGUAGUUUCGUUCGUUACCCCGAAAUUUGGGUCAAAGUGGAG